UGGAGAUAGGGCAAAGGAACCCAAGAAUAUAAGCUGUCAUCUGCUUUUGAGACCCACCUUUUGUUAUUUCUCCUUUUCACCUAGAAAAUGGAAUGCAGAACAUGAUAUGUUUGAAGAUGUUUUUGCUGUUUGGUUCAAAGAAGUAGCUUACACUUGCUUCUAAGUAGCUUGUUAAUCUAGAAUGAAGCAGAUUUCUACCUCAGAAAACCAAGCCCAGAAAGGCUGGAGAUGUCUGGGAAGUCAGCUUUGACCAAGUAGAAAAGAACAAACAGACAAUGACAGAGCAACAAGACGAAGGAGACCAAAGUACAGAAGCUGUCAGGGGGUACCACCAUAGGUCUUCUUUGGAAUAUGCAUCUGCUCCGUACUGCGCGUGAGAAAAAUUUCUACCCACCUAAGCUGCUCAGUUUGGGAGAAGGAAUCUCUUUAUCAAAGUAGCAUGAACUUUCCUUUAUUAUGGAAAUGGAAGAAUUUAGGUACACAGCUCCCAACAGGAGUGUUCCACAUUUAUUCCAGUGAAAAUUACAGCUUUGAAAGAGGGGUGUAGGAACAGGGUGAACAGCUCCAGUAUUUAGAACAAGGCAUAGUACAAGUAGAAAAGGUGGGCCAGUAACUUGGAAAUAAGCUUCAUUCUGCCUUCUUGAUCCAUUUUACUGUUGGGAUGUUUCCACUGUAGCCACUAAUAAUAUAAUUUCCCUGAGCCCAGUGAACUGUCACUCAGACAGAGGAUUCUGUGGACUCAGGUGGGAAGGGCAAGAACAUUUACGACAGGGCCGUGGGAACCUACAAGCCAACCUGGCUGUGGUCCUGAAGAGUGUACUGCCUAGGUAUGGGAGGCUGUGAAACCUGCUAUACAUCCUAGAGUUCAAAGAAUACAUUGCAUUUUUUGAGGAAAAAUAGAUAAAACCUUUUGACAGGAUGACGCUAAAAGAGGAUAUUGAUCUAAAAGAGAAAGGAAAUUCUAAAGCAUAAAACUCUGACCACACUGCCAUGAAUGAGCCCCCUGAGGAAGAAAUGAGGUUCUCCUUAACUGCACUGUGGAUUUUGGUGUACAAGAACCAAGUUUUGGAUACAACAGAGCAGCACCAAUCUGUGGAAACUGUGGCAGAAAGCCUGAGAAAGCAAGACUGCAUUAAGAGGGAACAGUAACAACCAAGACUAUUUAAAUUAGGCUUAGAGUAAGAAGAGGAAUAAAGAGACAAGCUCAGAGCUUGGGACAGAUGGUGAGAAACCAGCAGAGCAGAGAGGCAACACUGUAUUAUCACUUCCCUGGUGAGACAGUCUUUCCGUUGGAAAUGGCAGGGAGGGCACAGUUAAUAAGAAGUGGGCAUCUUAGUUAAAUGAGGCCACCUUGUACGUCAUGUAAACAGUGCAAAGAUAGUAAAGGCUGUUACUCAGCUUGUUUAUAUAACCAGGGAAAAUUGCUGAUAACACUUGGGGAAAGAGGUGCAUGGAAGAAAAGAGAACAUGUCUUCAUUCUCCAAAGAAGCAAGGUUGGACCCAAGGUAGCAACUAAAUGACUCAGUUCAGGUGGAUAGGAAUUUUUCUCGUGUCACGGUUCUUGCCCGGUUUCCUCAGACUAAUGCCCACUUGUGCUGCCCCCUCUCUGUCCGAGCUGUCCUGUCCAACCUCUCCCCAGCAGUGGAAAAGCAAACACUUCCGUGUGGGCUGGCUUCCUUUCAAGUGCUUACCAGCUUUAAGCCCCUGGAUGCGUGGUUUCAUAGGUGGCUCAGGACAGCCUUAGUCAAGAAGUAUAUUGUUCUAAAAGUGUGUACCUUGAAUAACAACCCCAAUGGUGACACUCCUGGAAACUGCUAAUCCAAAUUAGAAGAAGGACCUGGAGAUGCCUAGAAAGGACCUGAGUACUACACUUGAAGGAGAAAGACCUGUGACUUGAAGCAAGUCUGUCCCCCCUCAUUACUAGGGAGGCAGAUUCAUGAAUAACAUAAAGUGGAACUUUCUAGUAAUCACAGAUGUAGAAAGAUGAGGUUAACUUCAAUUCAAUUAACACAUACUGACCUUCAUGCAAGAGAUCCUAUUAGACAUCAAAGUUACUAAGAAAAAUAAGCACAUUACAGGCUGCAAGUUGCUGAUGAUUAUUGCAUGACUAAUAAUACUAUCUAGGAAGUAUUCAUUUCUAGUGUUUUGAUUAGGGAGAGUUAUCAAAAGUGUUCAAGCAGAGACUGAAUUGUACCCUUUUGUGAAGGGAAUUCCUAAAAAAUGGUUCAGAUAGUAUACUCUGCCAGUGGGUUUGAAUCUUGUUUGGCUGUGAUUUAGAAAAAGCAUUACAGAUAUAACAUAAUCCAGUACAACCCACAACGAAUGCAAAGUUUCAUGAAACAGUGUUUCCUCUACAUGUGUGAUAUAGUUUGAUAUUUUCUGGUCUGCUUUAUUUCAUCAGGAAUAUCCAAACCACAAAGCACUACAUUGGAUGUUAAAUUGGUUGUUACCCCAUUUGGAAGAAAUUGGUUACUUACCCAUAGAGAGAUGAUUGAAUACUUGUGACUAUCUAACUCUAAGAAUAGUAUGGUCAUAAAUAUUGUUCGUUUCAUGGAAUAUACAUGAAAUGUAACUGUCAGCUGGGUUAGACUGGGUGCACGUGACUGUUUCAAUAAAUCUGGGUUGGAUAGCACCAUAAAAGCAUGCUUUGCUUACUGAGGACAAAGUAAGCUCUUUUGUAAAGGUCCUUUUGUGAGGUAGCAGCGCGGUAAGAUAGCUACUGACAAAAUUGGGCAAUGUGGUCUCAGGUGUGCGUAUUGCUUUACACUAUUGACAAAAUCCAGAAAAAUAAUCCAGAGUUGCCCAUGAAACUUACUCAGAUAGAUUAUCCCAACAUAGAUUUCAGGUUCACUAAUUUUUUGAGGUUUUGUGAAAUUUUCUCCAUCUGCUCUUCUCCAAUAAGUCUGUGUUGACUUAUUGUGUGUUGGGUGUCUAAAAGUUGAGUGAAGUUAACAUACAGGGAAGAGAGGAUACGGGCUCUUGCCCCUGGUGUCGCUGUGGUUUUCAGGGACAUUGCACAGGCAAGGGCGUGUCCUGAAUGUGUCAUGCUGCAUGCCACAUAUAACAGAAUAUUACACUUUACUUAGUAGUUCUACCAUUAGUGGACAUUCUGGCUGUUUCUAACUUUGGGUCACUAUCUCCUCUAUCUCUUAAAUCAUAAUUUUCUAUAAUGUUUUCGAAAAUGUAAAAAAAUAUAUAGUAGACCUUUCUAAAAUUAGCACAUUAAAAAUCUGUGUAUGCUAAAAAAUCUCCAAAAUUUAUAGUACACUCAUACAAUUGGAGGUUCUAAUGAAACUCUUGAAGUAUAACUGAUGUAAUUAUAAACCUAUUUAAACCUGUAAUUUGCUAAGACUAAAACCCUCACCAUAGUCAAGAUAAUGAGCACACCCACUGUCCUCAAAGCAUCCUCAUGGGCCUUGUUCUCUACUCUGUCUUCCCCCUGCCAUCUCUCUCACCUCAAUAGCAAUCACUGAUUUGCUUUUCAGUGUGAUCAAUUUGUUUGCAUUUUCAACACUUUUAUAAAAAUGGGACUGUCUACUAUAUAUUCAUUUUUAUCUGGGCCAUUCACUUAGAAUGAUUAUUUUGAAAUUCUUCCAUACAGAUACAGGUAUCAACAGUUGAUUGCCUUUCAUUGCUGAAUGGCAUUCCAUCAUAUAGAUAUGCUGCAAUAUCUUUACUCAUCCACCUGUUGAUUAAUAAUUGGAUCAUUUCCAGUUUUUUCCUACUCAGCUAAAGCUGCCUUGACAGUCAUGUAUAAGUCUAUGUAGGGACAUGUGCUUUAUUUAUUUAUUUAUUUAUUUAUUCAUUCAUGUUUGGUACC